CCUCGGGAAACACUCCCCCAGCCCCUCCCACUUCGCCCUCCUGGAAGGCGGUUCUCGGUGGUCUCCGGGCCCUCACUUCCGCACCCCGCCCAGGUCCUGUCUGGCCCAAUAGACAAGAGACUGCGAGUCCGGCGACCGGGCUAAGCCAAUGAGCGCCGGCGGGGCGGGGAGAGCGGUGGCCGGCGUGUCUGUGGCAGAGGCUAGGUUACGGGUAGGUUUUCUGUGUCUGUUGCUGGCAGUACGGACUGUUCCGUCUCAGAACGACUGGGUUCCUUCCGUGUUGCUCUACUUUCUGUGCAGAGUUCCUCCGCUCCAACCAAGCCCCUUUUUCGUUCAACCUACAGAAUCCCCCUACCAGAUGGGAUCAAGGGAGAACAGUAUUUAGAUUGCAAAAUGGGGGAAUUGCGGCUGUCUCAGGGUAAUUUGGCUGUCGCUUCUUCACAAUAAAGGUCCUGUUCAAAAUAGAGAUUUGCUGUUGUCCAUCAAUUCAAAUUCACUUGGAAGGACACGUGUCUUGAUUGUUGCUUUUUAGUCUCUUCAUUUCAAAUUGCUGCUCCUGGAUCCCCCUGUGACCAUGUCUGGCCCUUUAAAAUGAGAACUUAUAUGCAUAAAAGGUCAUCUGCCUGAAUAAAUUACUGUAAAGAAAAGCCAAAGGAAAAUACUCUUGCCACGUAACUGGACACACAAAUAAAUAUCUUGUUCAAAA